AUAAUAUUAAAAGAUAAGCAUUUUUUUUUAAUUUCUUUCCCCUUAGUGCGCCAUCAGCUUACUAUAUUACCGCCAUUACAUUAUAAUGCAUGUUAUAUACUUUAAAAAAAAUUUAAAUCCAAUUAUAGUGCAUGUUUUAGUUUAGCGUAAUUAUUUCAUGAAAAUACUUUUAAGUAAAGAUAAUAAUGCUAUAAAUUGUCAAUAAGUUAUAAUUCAAAUGACAUAAUCUUCUCAUAUUCACUUAAUAAAAGAUUGCGAGUUCGAGUCUUUCUAUUUUUGGUAAAAGAAUAUAUAUAUAGAUAUUGUAAAUUAUAAAAUGAUUUAACAUAUUUAAUUAAAUAUAUUUGAUUGAAUUAUCUAUUAAUUCAUAAUAUGUAUCAUACUUUAAUAAAAGUAUCUUUGUAGAAGUAGUCACCCUUAGUUUUUAGGUUGUGUGUGAGAUACGUGUGGGUAUAGUUAAUAAAUGACGAUAGGAGGUGGUGAGUGUGUAGUAGCAGUUGGAGGCGUAGAAGUUUGAUGAAGCACCUUGCUGUGUAUCACAAAAUAAUGUUAUUGAUGCUUAUUUUAAUGCGUUUUUCCGAUAAAGACCAUAUAUUCAAGAUAGCUUAUCAGCACCAAUAUAAGGAACUUACUCCAAAAGCUGCCUUACUGAUCCACUACAAAACAACCAAACCCCUCUUUUGGUGUACGUAGCACUAAUCAGUUACACACAGGAAAGUUAAUAAACGACAACGUGCUCUAUUUCCCUUCACAAAAACACCAUAACCAAAAGUUCUUUAAAAUGGAAAAAUAGAAAGCACCAUCAAAUUAAACGGGUGGGUUGGGUUUAUGUUUUAGUUUCUAAUGAUAUGAUUUUGUUGAGAUAAUAUUUUGUGUAUUCUGAGAAUAUACUAUAUGACAACUUUUUUGAAAAUGCUAUUUUGUAUAUCUUUUCCUUCCUCCCAUAAAUAUUUUUAAAAUGUAAUUAGUAGUAACCGUAUUAUUUUUACUAAACAACAAGUUUUAUAUGUUAAACUAUAUAUAUCCCGUGUAUAUUUUGUUCGCCUCACUUUUGAUUCAAGUGUUAUUAUUGAUAAUUUUUAUUUGAGAAAGUCUUAGAACUAACAUCCCACAAUUAAUAUUGAAAUCAACAUUCAACGUAAAAAAAUAUUCAAAAAUUUUAAAAAAUAAAAAUAUUCGAAAUUUAAUUAAAAAAUUAUACAGAAUUAUUCAAAUUGAACAAAAAGUUAUUUUUGUUAAAUUUUGUAAUGACUUUGUUUAAUAAUAUAUUAUAAUGUGUAAUGAGCUUGUUUAGCAUUAAUUUUUCUUAUUUAUUUAUUUACUUUUUGCCCAAAGCAAAGCCUUAGUUGUUGAUCCAUCCGAUCGAGAAAGAGAGAGUAAAAAACAAAAAGAAAGGAUAGACUAUAGAGAUGCUUCUAAAUAAUGACUAUGGAAAAAAAUAGCGACAACCACAAAGGUUUCCAAAGGAAGAGUGUUUGUGUGUGUGAAAUGGGAGAGAGGAAGUUAUAGCAUGCAAUUGAGAGGAAGCGUUCCUGACACGUAAUUAUUGGGAGAAUCUUGCAUGACGUGUGCUGUCGCCACGUGGCAUGAGAUCCACUUAAGUGCAUGCAUGACCAAUGUUGAUCAUGCUAUCAUAUAUAUGGAGUACAGUAGUGUGUUCAGUUUAAGAGUAAAUUUCAAUCUUUAAUGCAAAGAAAAUGAGAUGACAUAAUGAUAUAUAUUGUAGUAGGAGGGUUGUAAUUGUUGCUUCUUAAUUGAUUGUUGAU